CGUGAAUGAUGAAGGCCUUCGGUUGUAAAGUUCUUUUGACAGGGAAGAUGAUGACUGUACCUGUAGAAUAAGCACCGGCUAACUUCGUGC
rnacentral:rRNA from 1 species